UGUGCCACAGAUCUCAGCGGAGCUGCAGAACGAGCUUCUGCUGAGUUUGCUGGACACAGACAGUGAUGUGGUGCAUUAUCUGCUGAGGAGGAAAACACCACAGUGUGAAGACGUGAAGAGCUCCAGUGGAGAAAUCUCUCCGUACGAUAACAACUCUCCGGUGCUCUCCGAGUGGUUUCAUCCAUCAGGACCGGAGCAUCAGAGUCCCACAAACCUCCAGCAUGCUCUCAAGAGGAACAACACUGUGAACUUCUGCCUCUCACCCUCACAAGCCGGCGCCGGGGAAACCAUACAUGAUAAAGCUCGUAUCUGGCAAACACGACACGCUCUUCUGUCAGGACUUCAUGACAAACUCCUCACAGGUUCGGAUGGACACCUGUAUAAACGCGCCUCCUCUGAUGUUUUCUACGAUGACGAUAACGACAUGAAACCUGUGCAUGAGAUGCAAACGUCCUAUACGAACGUCGCCGCUGAAUGUAGAGCGCGCCUGCAGGUCACAAGUGCAGACGGCAGUCCUCUGAGCUCCCCGCGCCAUCAAAUGCAUCCUAUUGCAUCGAGCCGAACUGCAUUUCACCAAUCAGAGGAAGCGAUGGCAUCUCCUGCCAAACCAGACGACAUACUUCCUGCCGUGUCCAUGCAGCCGCGUGUCACUUCCUGUCAGGGUGCGGCGUCACACGUGCCAUCGAAGAGCUUCGGAGCAGAGCAGCAUCCAGACUGGCCCACAGAGAAGUGGCAAAUAUGGCAACUCCUGUCAUCAGACAGCAUAGACACACUUCCGGAGACUAUGGUGUGAAACAUGCAGCUUAAAGGGACAGUUCACCCAAAAAUGAACUUACUGUCAUCAAAAGAAGAUAUUUGAAGGACCCCAUUGGCUUUCAUUGAAUAAGGCAUUUCUCAAGAUAUUUUCUUUUAUGUUCCACAGAAGAAGAAAAAGGCAUACGGGUUUGGAAUGAGUGAAGGAUGACAGAAUUAUCAUUUUUGGGUGAACUGCCCCUUUAAGAACCUUUUAAUUUGAAAGUCAAUUUGAAUUGAAUUGGAUGCAACACACAGAAUGUUGAAUUAGAAUUUGAAUUGGAAUGAGAGGAAGCACCACAAAAUGUUAGCGCAUUGUUUACAGAUAAUUUUAUAAAAAUCAUUAUUGAUAUAAAAAUUGUGGAUGAAUAUUUUAAUGUUUUACAUUUAAGUUUGGGGUCAUUAUGAUUUUUUUUUUUUUUUUUUUUUUUUUUUACAAAAAUUUAUAAUUUUAUUUAUCUAAUUAUUUUAUUUUAUUCAAAAUAAAUUGAUAAAUACAUCAAUU
rnacentral:lncRNA from 1 species